GGGGAAAGGAAUAUUGAACAAAUAUGGAAAAAUUCCAUAUCAUCGUCACCGACGGUGGUGGCUCAUUGACCAGUGGUGGUUCUGCGAGCGAGUGGCGAUGGUAGCUCAAGGGAUGGUCGUGGCCACGCAAGAGAGCAACGUUGGUGGCUCAACGGGUGGCAGGGAAGGGUGGUUACGAAAGGAAGAAGAAGAAAAAGGAGGAAGAAGAAGAAGCCAAUGAAAAAAAUGAAGCCGAGUGAUUUUUUUAUUUUUGAAAGAAAAAUGAAGUUGGAACGGUGGAAGGGAAAGGAAGAUUCCGGAGUUGGAUGGGGAAGUGGGAAAGGCAAGUGUGAGGAAGGAGAAAGGUUUUGGUUGGAAAAGAAGAGAGGUGGGGAAGUGGGAAAAGAAGAGAGGUGGAGAAGUGGGAAAGACAACAUGGAAAAGGGGGAAGGUUUUAGAGUAAAAAAGUGAAGUGGA
rnacentral:lncRNA from 1 species